GGCGAUGUGUUUCCCAAUAGAUUAGUUUUUGGUCCUUUUUUCAGUUGGGGAGUUUGGGAAGUGCAUGAAAUAAAGGACUCAAUAUGAUUUUAAUUCAUCUUGAGUAUAUCAAAUCUCAUCAUCAUGUUGGGUCUAAACUAGAAUCAAUACAAACAACUUCCACACCUAACCCAUUUCCACCUGUAUUUUACAACACAAAAUAAAUGUUGCCUACAACUUGAUGCAUGGCAGAAGCUUUUUCUAUCUGGGGAGGAAGAAACGGGCCGGUCUGCUUUUGUUAUUCAUCAAGAAGAAGGAUUCAUAAACCCUACAUGAUCAUCAUGGCUACUUGAAACCAGAUUGAUAUCUCUGUCUCGUUUCCGGCCGGUAGAUUUUGGGCUGACCAUCUUCACUUGAAGGCUCAAAUCUGCGAAGAAAUAUAUAAAUGGAAGCCUAUAUUAUGAAUAUAAUAGUGCUUGGAGUCAUUUCAUGGACAACAGUUUUUCUGCUAAUAAGGAGGAUAUUCCCCAAGCGCUCGUUUGAUUUCUGCAACCGGGCUGUUUCUACGAUUCAUGCUACUUUAGCUGUAAUAUUAACCUUUCUCUCCGUUCAAGAUUGGGGGUGCCCAGUUUGUCCUUUGGCUGCAAAAUCUUCCCCAAAGCAGAUGCAAACUCUAGCAGUGAGCCUCUCUUAUAUGAUCUAUGAUUUAGUAUGUUGCCUCUUUGAAAAGCGAGUCAGCCUCGACAACUCCAUCCACCAUCUGAUCAGCAUCGUUGGAAUUGGCGCAGGCCUUUCCUAUGAGAAGUGUGGAUCAGAAAUGGUAGCUGCAUUAUGGGUAACUGAAGUCUCCAGCCCUUUCCUCCACCUGAGGGAGCUUCUCAAAGAACUUGGAUUCAGGGACACCGACCUUAAUUUGGCAGUCGAUAUUUUGUUUGCAGUGAUAUUUACAUUAGGCAGGAUGGUUUGUGGGCCUUAUAUCACUUACGUGACUGUAUCUGCUAGCAAUCCUUUUGUCAUAAAGGCAAUGGCAUUGGGCCUGCAGCUGGUUAGUGCCUUCUGGUUCUACAAAAUCGUCAGGAUGGUGACACACAAAUUGACCAAGCGGACAGCAUCUAAAAACGUCUCCUCAAAACUAUUCACACCAAAAAUUUGAAACUCGGUCAAUGUCACGACAUUUUGUAAAAUAAUUGAUGUAUUUUUCAGAUCAGUUUUUUUAAUGACAACUUGACAUACCCUGUAAAAUACCGGCAUCUGCUUUCAACAAUUAUAAACUAGUUAUAAUUG